rnacentral:rRNA from 1 species
AUGGCUGGUAGGAAGAUUAAUAUUGAAUCUGGGAACAUUGCUAGGGUGUGGAGUGAUCCUAUUAACGGACUGCUUCCGUUCAAGGAUCAAUACCCUCAGCUAUUUGACAUUUGCAAUAUUCCUGGAUGUACUAUCAAACAAGUGUUCGCUGUGGAAACUGGUUCCUUUUUUAGACGAAGGCUCACUCCUGCUCUACAUGAACAGUGGGGGGUCGUUUUAGAUACAAUUAACAAACUACCACUUACUGACACAGAGGAUCGAGUGGUCUGGAGCUUGAACCAGAAUGGUAAAUUUAGCACCAAAUCUGUUUAUAAGUGGCUUGAAAAACCUCUCAAUGGGUGUCAUUAUAAAUGGAUUUGGAAGGCCAAAAUUCCACUUAAGAUCAAAUAAUUUAUGUGGCAACUUUCUCAAGACGCGGUGCUGACUAGGCAGGUGAUGCGCCGUAGGAAUUGGCCUGGGAACCCUGUGUGUUCAUUUUGUAACGAAAUAGAGACUUCCCAACACCUGUUCUUUACCUGCUCAGUUGCUAGAGUGGUGUGGCGAUCUAUUGGGGUGGCUAUUGGCACCGAUAAAUGUCCUGAUAACUAUUGGCAAUUUUUUGCUUGGUGUUAUACCUUUCUUUCAGGAGGGGAGAAAUUCUAUACGGUUGGUCUUGCAGCCGCUUGCCGGGCAGUCUGGCUUGCUCGCAAUAAGGCUACCUUGAGAAAAAGCAAAUUAAGUCUCCUUUUGAAAUCGUGUUCUCCAUGUGUUCUUUUCUGUUGUAUUGGACAGGGCUGCAGAAGGGUGACGACGCCGACAAGCUACGCUCAGGUGCCGAGAUGA